CAAACAGGCAGCGCGCGACAAUGGCGGUCGCUCGUGCAGCUUUGGGGCCAUUGGUGACGGGUCUGUACGACGUGCAGGCUUUCAAGUUUGGGGACUUCGUGCUGAAGAGCGGGCUUUCCUCCCCCAUCUACAUCGAUCUGCGGGGCAUCGUGUCUCGACCGCGUCUUCUGAGUCAGAUGGGAUCUCUCUUACGUCACCCAGGCUGGAGUGCAGCUCUGUGAUCAUAGCUCACUGCAGCCUGGAACUCCUGGGCUUAAGAGAUCUUCUUGCCUCGGGUUGCAGAUAUUUUAUUCCAAACUGCCCAAAAUGCAGGCAUCAGUUUUGACACCGUGUGUGGAGUGCCUUAUACAGCUUUGCCAUUGGCUACAGUUAUCUGUUCAACCAAUCAAAUUCCAAUGCUUAUUAGAAGGAAAGAAACAAAGGAUUAUGGAACUAAGCGUCUUGUAGAAGGAACUAUUAAUCCAGGAGAAACCUGUUUAAUCAUUGAAGAUGUUGUCACCAGUGGAUCUAGUGUUUUGGAAACUGUUGAGGUUCUUCAGAAGGAGGGCUUGAAGGUCACUGAUGCCAUAGUGCUGUUGGACAGAGAGCAGGGAGGCAAGGACAAGUUGCAGGCGCACGGGAUCCGCCUCCACUCAGUGUGUACAUUGUCCAAAAUGCUGGAGAUUCUCGAGCAGCAGAAAAAAGUUGAUGCUGAGACAGUUGGGAGAGUGAAGAGGUUUAUUCAGGAGAAUGUCUUUGUGGCAGCGAAUCAUAAUGGUUCUCCCCUUUCUAUAAAGGAAGCACCCAAAGAACUCAGCUUCGGUGCACGUGCAGAGCUGCCCAGGAUCCACCCAGUUGCAUCGAAGCUUCUCAGGCUUAUGCAAAAGAAGGAGACCAAUCUGUGUCUAUCUGCUGAUGUUUCACUGGCCAGAGAGCUGUUGCAGCUAGCAGAUGCUUUAGGACCUAGUAUCUGCAUGCUGAAGACUCAUGUAGAUAUUUUGAAUGAUUUUACUCUGGAUGUGAUGAAGGAGUUGAUAACUCUGGCAAAAUGCCAUGAGUUCUUGAUAUUUGAAGACCGGAAGUUUGCAGAUAUAGGAAACACAGUGAAAAAGCAGUAUGAAGGAGGUAUCUUUAAAAUAGCUUCCUGGGCAGAUCUAGUAAAUGCUCACGUGGUGCCAGGCUCAGGAGUUGUGAAAGGCCUGCAAGAAGUGGGCCUGCCUUUGCAUCGGGGGUGCCUCCUUAUUGCGGAAAUGAGCUCCACCGGCUCCCUGGCCACUGGGGACUACACUAGAGCAGCGGUUAGAAUGGCUGAGGAGCACUCUGAAUUUGUUGUUGGUUUUAUUUCUGGCUCCCGAGUAAGCAUGAAACCAGAAUUUCUUCACUUGACUCCAGGAGUUCAGUUGGAAGCAGGAGGAGAUAAUCUUGGCCAACAGUACAAUAGCCCACAAGAAGUUAUUGGCAAACGAGGUUCCGAUAUCAUCAUUGUAGGUCGUGGCAUAAUCUCAGCAGCUGAUCGUCUGGAAGCAGCAGAGAUGUACAGAAAAGCUGCUUGGGAAGCGUAUUUGAGUAGACUUGGUGUUUGAGUGCUUCAGAUACAUUUUUCAGAUACAAUGUGAAGACAUUGAAGAUAUGUGGUCCUCCUGAAAGUCACUGGCUGGAAAUAAUCCAAUUAUUCCUGCUUGGAUUCUUCCACAGGGCCUGUGUAAGAAUGGGUUCUGGAGUUCUCAUGGUCUUUAGGAAAUAUUGAGUAAUUUGUAAUCACCGCAUUGAUACUAUAAUAAGUUCAUUCUUAAGCUUGCUUUUUUUGAGACUGGUGUUUGUUAGACAGCCACAGUCCUGUCUGGGUUAGGGUCUUCCACAUUUGAGGAUCCUUCCUAUCUCUCCAUGGGACUAGACUGCUUUGUUAUUCUAUUUAUUUUUUAAUUUUUUUCGAGACAGGAUCUCACUCUGUUGCCCAGGAUGGAGUGCAGUGGUGAGAUCACGGCUCAUUGCAGCCUCGACCUCCCAGGUGAUCCUCCCACCUCAGCUUCCAGAUUAGCUGGUGCUAUAGGCAUGCACCACCACGUCCAUCUAAAUUUCUUUAUUAUUUGUAGAGAUGAGGUCUUGCCAUGUUACCCAGGCUGGUCUCAACUCCUGGGCUCAAGCGAUCCUCCUGCCUCAGUCUCUCAAAGUGCUGGGAUUACAGGUGUGAGCCACUGUGCCCAGCCUAAUUGCAGUAAGACAAAAAUUCUAGGGCACCAAGAGGCUAAAGUCAGCACAGCUUUUCUUGUGUCCUGUAUUCUCUGUCUAAUGUGUUGCCCAAAUAAUACCUAAUUGUUAGCCAUUCCCCUCCAUCUCUGGCCUAAAAGUGAUAGUCCAGGUAUCCACAUGGGCUGGUUCCCAGAACUGCCAUUGCUCACUCUCCAAAGAGGGGAAGGUGGGGAAGGGGAAGGUGACUAUAGCUCAGCUCCUGAGCUAGUAUCUGGCUGUUAUUUCAACAACCGGAGUUGGGGUUUGGGCUCAUUUUUUCCCCUAGCCAGCAAUUAUGGACCAGUAGUAACACAAGUGACAGCUUCCUGUGACUGACUUCACAAUUAGGAGGUCUAAGAUUCCAUUUGGGUAUUUGCUUAAGGAUCCCACAUAAUUGUCCCAACGGUCAUUAGUAGAGGGGAGGUAAGCCUUCAUUAAUAAUAAAGAGAAAGCCCACAUUCAAGGUGGUGUUUGAGCAGGGGCAGGGUGAGGGCUGUCCCGGUGCUCAUUGCACCAGCACACUCACAUUCCUUCUCAUUUGGGGCCCACCUGCAGGAAGUGGCACAGGAUCAGCCAUUUCCCCACCCUUGUCAGCUGAUGGCCCACUGUUCUUUAAUGACUCAGAGGAAUGCCUAGGAUUUUUUUUUUUUUUUGAGACAGAAUCUCACUGUCGCCCAGGCUGGAGUUCAGUGGCACGAUCUCGGCUCACUGCAACUUCUGCCUCUCUGGUUCAAGCAGUUCUCCUGCCUCAGCCUCCCGAGUAGCUGGGACUACAAGCCUAGGAUUUUUAACUCAGGUUUUUAUUAUAUUCCCUCCUGAAGUUUUUACUUCAAGAGCUUCUGCUCUAAAGUCCAAUUUGGGCUUCAUGUCCCCAGUGCUGCAUCUCCAGGGAAAUGCUGUCUGUGGGAGAGACCAACUCUCAAGGAAGAAGUGGCCACAGAAGGAGCAGGAAGGGAGUUGGCCCUCAGGGCUACUCUGGGGAAGCCAAAAGUCAUGAAGGGGAGAAGAAUUUUCUGACAAAAACUUGCAGGAAUCUCUUAGGUGUCUUCAGUGUUGGAGUGAUAUGUUGAGAGGCCUUUGGAGUGAUGUGCUGAGGUCUCAGGCGCCCACCUCCCUGGCUGUCACUUCCAUGUGUCAGUGGUUCUCCCACUUUAGCAGGUAUCAGAGUCACCUGGAGUCUUGUCAAAACAGGUACCAGCCCCACCCGCAGCGUUUCUGACUCUGGGUAGCUCUGGGAUGGGGCUUGAGAAUUUGCGUUUCCAAAAAGGUCCCAGGUGAUGCUGCGGUUGCCUGCGCAGGGACUGGACUUUGAGAACCACUUCACUGGUUAUUCACAUUUCUGCCUCUGCAGUGAGACAGCCUUGAGGUCUGCCUCCUGCUAAGAGUCACAUGCUCCUGUCCUUUAGAAAUGUGGGCUCCUGCCAUCUCCAGGACGCAGGCACUGUUCCUGUUGAUGAACCCUAUUUCACAGGACCCCUGCUAAGGUGAUUUGAGGGGAAAUGAGAGGAGGCUCAAAUAAUCACCCAGCCCCUGCCACUUACUGAAAGUGUAGGUCCUUGUGCCCCACACCAUCAGAGUUUCUGCGUUAGCAGAUUUGUGGUUUGCCCAGCAGCCUGGGCGUGUGCAUUUCUAAUGGGUGCCUCAAGUGAUCUGUUUCUGAUUUGUAUUUCUAUUGUGAAGAGUCAGCCCAGUACUGCAGGCCUCUUACCUAAGCAGAAUCCCAGUCUGGCAUCAAAGCUUUAGAGGACAAGUUGAUUCAGGCAGAGAAGAACUUGGGCUAUACAAGCGCUGUUCUUCAGCAUUGAAGUAUUUUGGAGGCAUUAGAUAGUUUAACCCUUUCUCAGUCAAGGAAUAUUUACAGAACAUGAUCUCUGGGCAUUGUAACUCCUGGUCUUAGUGGGGAAUAUAGGGACCCCAUGUCUCCAUGGGGUGCACAGAAUGUCUGUGAGACUGAUGGAGUGGAGAACGCCAUCCCCCAGCCUCUCCAGCUACUCGAGGCAUUCUGUAGAACAUAAGCCCAUAGAUUGUGUGUGUGUGUGUGUGUGUGUGUGUGUGUGUGUGUGUGUGCAUGCGCGCGCGUGCGCACUGGAGGAACCUAAGAAACUAUUUGGUGCACUUCCUCUUAUUUUAGAGCUCCCAAAGUGUAGCUCCAGAAUCGUAAAGGGAUAUGCUCAGUCUCACAGCCAGCCUGUGGAUCUCAGUCCCAACACUCACCCUUGUGCUACUGAGUCAGCUCUAAGAAAAUCUGCCAAAAGUAGGCCGAGGGCUGGUUUUUUGUUUUGUUUUGUUUGUUUGAUACAGGGUCUUCACUCUGUUGCCCAGGCUGGAGUAUAUCAUGGCUCACUGCAACCUUGACUUGGGCUCAAGCGAUCCGCUCAAGUAGCUGGAACUACUCUCAAGUAGCUCUCAAGAGCCUCUCGAGUGGCUGGAACUACAGGCGUGCACCACCACAGCUGGUUAAUUUUUAAAAUUUUUUGUAGAGACGGUGGAGGAGGUUCUCACUGUGACUCAGUGUGUGCCCGACAGCAGAGCCCACACCACUCCAGUUGCAGUGGUUGCCAUCUGGGUCAUCAGACCUGGCUGUCAGGGGUGCAGCCACAGGAGAGCCAACAGCAGAGGGUGCUGGCCGCUGAGCUAGCUGCUAAUGCUGGCCUGGGUGCAGUUCUCAUCCAAAGUACCCGGUGGGUGGGAGUCACUCAGUACCAGUUCCGAGCCUGAACCCAAACUCUCGUGUUUCUGCUCACCCCUCUCUGGCUUCUGCCACCACAUGGGAAGAAUAUGCCCUGGUUAGCCCAUGGCUUCUGAAGAGCAAGAGAAAGUAGAGCAGAGCCUACUCCAGCCUCCCCCGUCCAAUGUAUGAAAGCCCCAGCUGAUCUGUAAGCCUGGGAGCGUGAUAAAUGCUUAGUAGUGCAUGCCAUGGAGUUCCAGGGUGGUUUAUUACACGGCAAUAUCUAGCUAAAUACAUUUAACUUGCUGCAGCUCUCUGGAUCCAGCCUGGUUACCAGGAAGACAAAAACUGGGCUCCACCAGGAACCAGUCUUCUGCCUUCCCAACCAUCACCUCUGGCUGCAUCAGCGAUCUCUCCCAGCGAAAUAGCUGCUUGGUCUUGUGUGAAUCCUGUACUUUAACACAGUGGACCAAGUGUCAGUCAUUGAAAAUGACCAUGAGUAACCCUGUGGACUCUCUGCAGCUUGGUUCCUUUGCCCCUUAACAGGUGGGUAUGAAUCGUGUCUUCAGUGCCAGGGCUGAAUGAGAAAGGGCAUUCCUUUUUGAAGGAAUCUGAUACUAAACACAAAGCAUGAGAAAAAUCAGGACUUGUUGGAGUUAUAUUUUUAAAAUAUAUAUUUUAACAGUUAUAUAUAUUAGAUAUAAUAUAUAAUAGUAUAUAUAAAUAAUACUAUAUUGCCCAGGCUGGUCUCGAACUCCUUAGCUCAAGUGAUCCUCCUGCCUUGGCUUCCCAAAGUGCUAGGAUUACAGGUGUGAGCCACUGCUCCCGGCCUGUUGGAGUUCUUUACAUUUAUUUUAUAAUCAAUGCUGUUUUAUUAAAUGCGGAUUUUAUUUUGGAUUACAGGAUGUAGAAUGCCAUAUUUUUCUUAGAUCAUAGGGCCUUUCACAUUUGUAAUUUGGCCUUGUAUGAGUUACCCUGCAAUCCCUUUGUUUUCCCCAUAACCCUUCCAAAGGAAGGCCGCAAUAGAAAUACAAAGAGAAACAAAAUAAUUAGAAUAUUUUUUAACUUCUAAAGUUCAAGGUUUUGGCAUAAGUCUGGUUUAGAAGCACAUUUGCCUAGCCCUUUCCUUCCCACCAAGGGGGAAAGUCUUCCUCUAGACAAGAGGCAGAGGGCUCCUCAGAGUCAGAUCCUGGUGUGGGCUCUCACGUGCUGCUGCUGAAUCCCAGGGAAGGAGGGAGGAAGGGCAGUUGACACCCAAAAUAAGGGUGGGGAACUGUCAGCAGAGGAGGUCUGUGUCAUGUUUUUCAGCGCUGGGGUUGGGGGGAGCCCAGGAGAGCAGGAAGAUCCAGAGAUCCCUCGCCCCAGCUCGGCCAUGUGUGUCUGGGACAGAGCCUGAGGUGGCCUGAGCUUCCUGUGGCUCCAGAGUAACAUUAUAGAGAAGCUGAAUUCUCCUGUUUUUCUGAAAAGGGCAUGGGAGUUAGCUGAGAAGCAGACCUGGUGGGCCUGAGAGUCUCAAUCGUCAGGUAAGGACAGUCAGUGGGAAGUGGACGGGCCGCACAACCAAGGUUCUCAUGAGGACAACCAUGUCUUCGGGGGUGCCCUUGUGCACAGACAGCUCCAUAGUCCUGCCUCCAAUGUCCCAACACUGCAUUGUCUCCCUGCACUUAGCAGCCCUGCAGGGUGAGACUUGGGGAGGAUCCUGAAAUGAUUGUAUUUAACAAGACAUGCUGUCCUUGUUUACCUGGAACCUAGCAAUGUUGUUUUCUGCCACAACUUGAAUAGAUACUUGAAGCAGAGAUGAUGUUGAGUUAAAAAAAAUAUAUACAUAAAAAUAUGGGUUCUUUUCAACCUGAAUAGAUGGCCUAAAAAUUCAAA